ACAUUUAUAAAUAGAAGGUCUUACAGCUGUUUCUGGGAUAUUUUAUAUAUCCCGGAAACAGCUGUAAGACCUUCUAUUUAUAAAUGU
rnacentral:pre_miRNA from 1 species